UGUUUUUGAGCAAAAAUCUUAAUCAGUGCAAAAACCUCAAAUGCAGAGGAGUAAAAAGUAUCGAUAUUUAAGCCUGAAAUGCAGCAGAGCAGAAGUAGAAAUAGGCAUUGAUAAAAACUGCUCAAGUAAAAUAAUGUAACUCAAGAGUAAAGAGUUCAAAGUUUGUCAUUUUAAGUAUUAAAAAAUACAAAAAAUUGAUAAAAAAAAAAAAAAAUCAGACAUCUCCAACAUCUGAGAUUCACUCUGAAAGCAGACGAACUAUUGUAGGAUCAACACCCACACACUCUACUUACCAUUCAAGUCCCUGUGUCCUUUUUCAUGUCUCAGGUCCACCAUCCGAAAUGCCAAGAGCAUCCACAACAAGUCCCGCCAGCGGCUCAGCCAGGACACCUACCGCAGGAACAGCCGUCGAUACCUCCAGCAGAAGGGCAGCCGCAUUGCAGAGCCGCACAGGAACUCCAAGAACACUGCAAAGUCGCCGCUGAUGGAGAGGAAAAACCAGGACAACAUUCCCGAGACGUCCAGCUCCAGUUCGGAGAGCGAGCUGAAGAAGGAGGCUCCAGUCAUCCCUCCCCGUCCAAGUGCGGAGCUCAUCAUGGAGCGCUGCAGCGACAACACCCGCAAGAAAGUCAGCAUCCACAAGUCACGCUCCAGUUCCACCAGCUAGCAUGGGAAUGUAUAGUAUAUUGUAAAAGUUAUAACCAAAUAGCUGUUUAUGAUACAUAAGUAGGUUACCAUAUUUUAUAUAGGUAAGAAAAUUGCUAAAAAAUAUUGAAACUACUUUAUCCUUUGAUUAUGACUUUAUUGUUAUUUAGAAAUAACAAAUGUUAUUCUAUAUUUUCUUAUUGUCGAUAAAUCCGGUGAAAAGAAAAAACAACAUGUCUGGCUGUCAUAUCAAGACAAACACUGUGGCAAACAGCUAUAAACUAAGUGCAACAUGUUAUGUCUUUAAAACAACAAGACAUCAUGUUAAGGUGGGCUAUGUGCGGGACUAUUUCUUGACUGUUGCCCGUGAACCAGUGGAGACUAAAGGAAGUUACUGGUACGAGGCAAAAAAUAGUCUGAAUCAUAACCCCCAUAAAAUGACAAAAUGUAGUUUUGACACUUAGUUUAACUGUACGAAUUAAAUAAAGUACAAGUUAAUAAUUGAGCUUUACAGAUUUACUUACCUUCCGUUAACCCUAAUUUUCUUGUCUUUAUGCAACGCUAAGCUAAGCCGUGCUGACUUUAGUUGCAUGUUCGUUUUUUUUAGAAAGUGCAAAAAGUAUUUUUUGUAUAUGUCAAACUAUUCCUUUAAAACAUGAUCACCAAAAACAACAUUUAUUAUUGAGAUGUCAAGUUAGCUUACCUACAACCUUACCUUGCAGUGCUUGCUUUUUCAGCUCUACCUCACUGUUAGUUGCUAUAUUUUAUAAGCUAUAUUUUGUUUAAGGCAAAAGGUGAAUAUACUUUGUACCGUUAUUAUGAUUUUUAGAGUUUUCUUUACGGAGAAAAUAAUUACAUUUCUGUUUGUGACUUCUGUGUGGCAGGUAUUACAUCUAUUUCCAAGCAUCUAUAGAGCUUUGUUUUAAUUUAUUCGCUUAAUAAUUGUAUAUAAUCAUGAAACAAAAUGUUUAUUUCUGCAGUCUUUCCUCAAAUUAUUCUCAUUUUUUCAAUAUAAGGUAUCAGUGCCUAAUAUGCACACACAAAUUCUCACUUUGGAGGUGUAUUAAAAACCUGUGCUUAUAGAUUCCAAAUUCCUCCCAGGGAUCAAUAAAAUAUUUCUGAUUCAAAUUUUUA